rnacentral:lncRNA from 1 species
GACCUUUCAUUUCUACCUUAGAUGGUGCUGUCAGCAUCUCCCUAGAUAAUACUUGCUUUUAUUGCAGCCCCAGAACCUGAGAUUUUCCCACCAUCACAGCCACCAAUAGGUAAUGAAGUUUCCUCUAGUGAGUGAAAAAGAAUUCACUUACUUUCACUUACUAUGUCCAAGUUCGUCUUUAGCUUUGGAUUUUUUAAAAAAAUUAUUUCUUGAUUGUCCUUCAGAUCUUGCUUUCAGCUGUUUCUGCCAGAAGAUAAGCUCUCUGCUGCCUUGACUAAGUGGAAGCUCUGAGACAGUCAUACUGAUUUUGAUUUGCCACAUUCCUUUUUGUUCCUUCUUAUAUCUGUGUCCUGAGCUUGUUUUAACCUCAUUAUUCCCCACAGAGGACCAUGGCUUCCCCAGGACAUAUUUAUGCUUUCAUUUUUAGAGUUUUGUUUUUUUUUUUUUU